AGCGGGAAGGUUCGGCGCUCGGGAGGUAUGGCGAGCCGUGAGGAGGGAUUUCCCUUCUCUCCCCCCCCCGCUUCUUUUGGGGACAAUGGUUCGCUCCGGCUCCUCCUGCCUGGGGCGGAGCUCUGGCAGGCGAAGCGGAGUGAUGUCAUUUUAGGAGGUUGGGGAGGGCGCCUCCGCUUCGAAGUUGCUCCGAGGGACGUCAGAGGAGCUGCUCCCCCCCCCCCCGUCCCAUCUCUCGUGUGGGUGGGGGAAGCACGGGACAAAACAAUUAGCAAUUGUUUUAAUAGCAAUGAAAUAAUAACUAAUAAAAUAUUUAAUUAUCACAGUGCGUGGGGUGCAUGGGAUAUUAUUGUUGCAAUUAAUGGUCAUAAAUUAAUAGAAUACUUAAUAAUCACAGUAAUUAUUGCAAUAGUUAUCACAGUGUGUAGGGUGCAUAGGAUAUUGUUACAAUUAAUAAUAGAAUAAGCAAAAAGAAAGAAUAAUAAUAAUCACAGUAAUCAUUACAAUAAUUAUCACAGUGCUUAGGUUGCUUAGGAUAUUAUUGUUACAAUUAAUGGUAAUGAAUUAAUAAAAUAAUCACAGUAAUCACUGCAAUAAUUAUCACAGUGCGUAGGGUGUAUGCAGGAUCAAGCCAUACGUACACGAGCUAUAAUUAUUAAAGCAAAAUGCUUGUGUAUGGCUCGGUCCUCUACACCUUAUGCACUCUGUCUAAAGGGAGGGUACAUAGGAUUACAGUUGUAAGGGAGUGGGGCAGAAUCCUGGUGUACAACCUUGUUCUUUUCCACGAGCACCCCCAGCUCAAACCCACUCCCUGAGGCGAAGGAAGUCAAAGGCAAGACCUCUGGCCUGAGAGCUGCUGUCUGUUCGAAUACAGAAGUUGUUCUGACUUAGGAAAUCCGUGCUUAUAAUCUUGGUUUAGCCUCCAUCGACUGGGGCUUUGAGCUGUGCAUUUGGGAGCAUGGCUAGAGAUGCCAUUGUGAAGAAGUGCUGAUGGAAAUAUAUGCAAGUUGGAGGGAUGGCUUAGUUGUACAGAAGAAGUAUAUCAACAACUGCGAAGGAAGUGGAAAUGUGGCAGGUGUCAGCAAUGGAAAAAGUUGUGCCCACAUUUUUGUGAUUUCCACACUGCUGAUAGUUAUUGUAAGGAAAACAAUCGCCGGGACUGGAAUGUAUUCAGAGAUGUAAUAUAUGAAAGGUACCAGGAUCCUGCUGUCCUUUGCAUCUGGUACCUCUGACUCUGCUGUGGCAGAGUAUUAGCCAAUGUACUCUUGUUUAGUUACUAUAGGGUUGUGGGUUCAGAUCCUACAUUCAGGUCAGCAAGGAUCUGUCCCUUUUUCUUUUAUACAAUUUUAUUAAUUUUUAAUAUUUAUGCCUCGCCUUUCAAUCAAAUUCUUACAGUAGGUAGCAAUAGUGCACUACCACCCCCCAAACUCACACAUCCCUGCAGCCCUUAGUUCUCUGGCUGAUGGAUGGAGCCAUAAUAGGGUUCUCUUUAGUUCUGCUGUCUUGAAUAUUUUUUCUGGCAGGGAAGGGGAAGAAAGUGCCCUGGAACUGUUCCUUCUCCGGCUGAUUGGAAGGAGAACAGCUAUUCGCCAUGAUGGCUAAAACUGAACUUAUCUGUACGGAAGAAGUAUAUCUUGGAAUACCAGAGGCUGAGAGAAAAAAUGAGGAACGGCAUAUGAUUUUCACAUUCUGCUUUGUUGGGCUGCUGUUUGAUUGCUUUUGGAAACAGAAUACUGGAUUAGCUGGACUUUGGUGUCAUCUAUGAAGAUAAUUAUUAUAGAUCAGUGGUUCCCCCAGAAUUUUACCUUCUGGACCACUUGAAGAUCAGUGAGGG